rnacentral:lncRNA from 1 species
CACUCUCUGUGUUCAAUCUCUCUCUGUGAGCUCAAGCUCGCUGUAGCUGCUUCUCACUCUCUGUGGUCAAUCUCUCUCUGUGAGAUCAAUCUCUCUGUAGCUCAUUCUCACUCUCUGUGUUCAUUCUCUCUCAAGCUCUCACUGUAUCUAUCUCUCUCUCUCUUUGUGUAUUGAUCUCUUUUGUUUUUGCAACUACAUGUCACUUUGUCCAUCCCACCUGACAGAACAUGGACACAAUGCUAUUGGGAUCAAGAAGAAGAGCUUCUCAGAAAUGAAUCAAGUCCAUGGAAUGGAUAUAGACAAAGAUAAUUCAAGGACUAGCAGAGGACUGGAGACCACAGUAGCGAUCCCGCUCUUGCCCUACCUCUUCAAUGAGGACCCGAGUGGCCUUAUGUCUGUGACAAGAUUUCACUGCUCUUUACUCCUUUACUGCACAUCGGUGGAAAUCCAUUUCACCAUGAGAGUGAAAUCCCGCUGGCCUUUGAUGGGGAGAACAUCUACGCCCUCGAGGACGUCCCCAUGGGACUUGGGGCUCUGCUACGGCUGUAUUUUUUAUUUAUUUUCCCUUAAAUUUCCCAAAAAUGUCAGAAAAACACUUGUUCUUAUGUUAGUGUUCUGGGGAUAAGAGAAGUUGGGGUGAAGUUACCAGGGCCGGGCAUAAAGAUGGCAAACUUCCUAACAUAACUAAGUGAAUAUGAUAUACACACUAAAGAUGAAAAAUCUGUAUUUAGCAUCAAGUCUACAAUAUUGCUAAUUCAUAUUUGUGGUGUCAGUAAAUAAACAAUUAUUUAAAUCAA